UAAUGUACUACACAAUACUCUGCUCUUAUCUUCUUCAUUUAAGUUUAUGCUCCACUGUCUGUGCACACCAAAGUUCACUUCUUUCUCUUCAGCAUUCUUCAGUGGGCUGUUAUGAUUCUGCAGACAACACGAGUUCGAUCUCCUACUCUUGUAGAUGAGUCUUAUAGUGUCUACAUCGAAAAUAGUACGAUGAAUCUUUCCAAUCGGGUGAAAAAAUGAUUCCUCAAAGUUACAGAUCAAGAUGAAACAUAGAGAAGGCUUGGCCAAUUACCUAGUGGAUGUGGAGAGGUAACAUAAAGAAGAGAGAUUGACCAGUGUGUGUAACUACUCCGAAAGUAUAAGAGACAGAGACAUAAAUGC